rnacentral:rRNA from 1 species
UAAUUUGCAGAGGAUGCUUUUGGCGAGGUGCCUUCCGAGUUCCCUGGAACGGGACGCCAUAGAGGGUGAGAGCCCCGUCUGGUUGGAUACCGAGCCUCUGUAAAGCUCCUUCGACGAGUCGAGUAGUUUGGGAAUGCUGCUCUAAAUGGGAGGUAUAUGUCUUCUAAAGCUAAAUACCGGCCAGAGACCGAUAGCGCACAAGUAGAGUGAUCGAAAGAUGAAAAGCACUUUGAAAAGAGGGUUAAACAGUACGUGAAAUUGUUGAAAGGGAAGCGCUUGUGACCAGACUUGGGCCCGGUGAAUCAUCCAGCGUUCUCGCUGGUGCACUUUGCCGGGCCCAGGCCAGCAUCAGUUUGCCUCGGGGGAUAAAGGCUCUGGGAAUGUGGCUCCUCCGGGAGUGUUAUAGCCCGUUGCAUAAUGCCCUGGGGCGGACUGAGGUUCGCGCAUCUGCAAGGAUGCUGGCGUAAUGGUCAUCAGCGGCCCGUCUUGAAACACGGACCAAGGAGUCGUCUUCGUAUGCGAGUGUUCGGGUGUAAAACCCCUACGCGGAAUGAAAGUGAACGCAGGUGAGAGCUUCGGCGCAUCAUCGACCGAUCCUGAUGUUCUCGGAUGGAUUUGAGUAAGAGCAUACGGGGCCGGACCCGAAAGAAGGUGAACUAUGCCUGUAUAGGGUGAAGCCAGAGGAAACUCUGGUGGAGGCUCGCAGCGGUUCUGACGUGCAAAUCGAUCGUCAAAUAUGGGCAU